rnacentral:rRNA from 1 species
GAUCCUGACUCAGGACGAACGCUGGCGGCGUGCCUAAUACAUGCAAGUAGAACGCUGAAGAGAGGAGCUUGCUCUUCUUGGAUGAGUUGCGAACGGGUGAGUAACGCGUAGGUAACCUGCCUUGUAGCGGGGGAUAACUAUUGGAAACGAUAGCUAAUACCGCAUAACAAUGGAUGACCCACUGUCAUUUAUUUGUAAAGGGGACGAAAUAGCUCCACUACAAGAUGGACCUGCGUUGUUAUUAG